GUUUGCCUUUGCCCCAGCUGAAGCACUUCCUCUUUGUAGAAGAAUCAGAGGCCUGCAAGAACUACUCAUCCUGCACCUGGAGUAAAACCAUAUGGCUUGGAAACAAAGUCUGCAGGCUUCGAGCCAGUUAACGGAGUGGCUUCAGAGGAGUAGACGUGUGUUCUGUUCAUGUCCGGUGUGUGCAGCACACUGAUGUUUGCAGGCCUUCCCCAGGGGCUCAGUGUUUAGCGGGACAUGGACACAGACACCUCACCACAGGCCCAUCUGAGAAGUGCUGUGCAGACCAGCAAGCUUUCACAGGAUGGUCACGCAAGAAUAGGAAGAAAGUCUGCAGCCUACGGAUGAUGUGCAGUUCUCCCCCAUGUCAAAAGAAAUCCAAGGAGUGCAAGAUCCACGAAUGUGCCUGCACAUUGUAUACAAUGAUAGAAAAUAAAGAAGGCCAUCUGCAUGUCCCAAGUUAAAUACAGUGUGACCCAGCCACUCUGGGAUACAUGUAGCUUUAAAGAGAAAUAGGGGGUGGCUGCUGCCUUUGCCCUUGGAGCCCAUCUUCCCAGGCACCUGAAGACCCCCUGCUUGAUGGCAGACCCUGCUGGAGGUGAGCCCUGCCUCCUUCUCACCCGGUGGUGCGCAUGUGAAGAGGGACUUCCUGAAUGCCCUUACUGUGCCCCGGAGACAAGACUGGCGUCAAUUACUCAUAUACUUAAACAAACAGGUCAUUUCAAAGAAU
rnacentral:lncRNA from 1 species